UCGGGCARCCGAGUUGUAAUUUGGAGACGGGACACUAGAGAGGAGGAAGGCGAUUAAGUGCCUUGGAACAGGCUGCCGUAGAGGGUGAGAGCCCCGUGAAUCGCUGGAGACCGAUCAAUUAGUGCCSGCCGAAGAGUCGAGUUGUUKGGGAAUGCAGYUCUAAGCGGGUGGUAUAUUCCAUCUAAGGCUAAAUAUUAGYGAGAGACCGAUAGCAAACAAGUACAGUGAUGGAAAGAUGAAAAGAACUUUGGAAAGAGAGUGAAAUAGUACGUGAAAUUGUUGAAAGGGAAGGGUAUUUGAUCCGACAUGGUGUUUAGCAGCGGCCCGUUCCUCGUGGAUGGGUGCACCUGGUUUACACUGGGCCAGCAUCGGUUCUGGGAGCCAUAUACGGGGUUCGUGAAUGUGGCCCUUCGAUUCUGUCGGAGGGU
rnacentral:rRNA from 1 species